CCUGUGGCUCACGCCACAGGCUCUAUCCUGCCGCCGCUCCGCGGCU
rfam:Planctomycetes bacterium RBG_16_64_10 RBG_16_scaffold_12745, whole genome shotgun sequence.